rnacentral:rRNA from 1 species
AUCCUGGCUCAGAAUCAACGCUGGCGGCGUGCCUAACACAUGCAAGUCGAACGAGAAAGUGGAGCAAUCCAUGAGUACAGUGGCGACCGGGUGAGUAACACGUGACUACCUGCCCUUGAGUGGGGGAUAACCUCGGGAAACCGAGGCUAAUACCGCAUAAUAUCGAGAGAUCAAAGGAGCAAUCCGCUUUUGGAGGGGGUCGCGGCUGAUUAGCUAGUUGGUAAGGUAAUGGCUUACCAAGGCGAAGAUCGGUAUCCGGCCUGAGAGGGCGCACGGACACACUGGAACUGAAACACGGUCCAGACUCCUACGGGAGGCA